rnacentral:rRNA from 1 species
AACGAACGUUGGCGGCGUGGAUUAGGCAUGCAAGUCGAACGCGAAUCCCUGGGCAACUGGGGCGGAGAGUGGCGAAAGGGGCAGUAAGGCGUGGGUAACCUACCCUCCGGGCCGGGAUAGCUUCGGGAAACUGAAGGUAAUACCGGGCGACGCAGCGAGAUCGCAUGGUCUUGCUGCCAAAGGUCCGCCGCCGGGGGAGGGGCUCACGUGGUAUUAGCUAGACGGCGGGGUAACGGCCCACCGUGGCAAAGAUGCCUAGCAGGUGUGAGAGCACGACCUGCGCCACUGGCACUGAGACACUGGCCAGACACCUACGGGUGGCUGCAGUCGAGGAUCUUCGGCAAUGGGCGCAAGCCUGACCGAGCGACGCCGCGUGUGCGAUGAAGGCCUUCGGGUUGUAAAGCACUGUCGAGGGGGAGGAAGCCGCAAGGUUGACCCAUCCCUGGAGGAAGCACGGGCUAAGUUCGUG